UAUGCCAAGCAGAUGGAUGCCAUCCUGA
rnacentral:piRNA from 1 species